UACGGGGGGGGCAAGCGUUGUUCGGAAUUACUGGUCGUAAAGCGAGUGUAGGCGGUCUUCUAAGUCGGAUGUGAAAGCCCCGGGCUCAACCUGGGAAUGGCAUUUGAAACUGGCGGGCUGGAGUGUGGCAGAGGGGGGUGGAAUUCCACGUGUAGCAGUGAAAUGCGUAGAGAUGUGGAGGAACACCGAUGGCGAAGGCAGCCCCCUGGGCCAACACUGACGCUCAGGCACGAAAGCGUGGGGAGCAAACAGG
rnacentral:rRNA from 1 species